UAUCAUGCUUCCAAGAAAAGCUCCUAAGCUUCAGAUAACUGGGAACCGUACCCCAAACCGACACAGGUGGUUAGGUAGAGAAUACCAAGGCGCUUGAGAGAACUCGGGUGAAGGAACUAGGCAAAAUGGCACCGUAACUUCGGGAGAAGGUGCGCCGGCGAGGGUCAAGGACUUGCUCCGUAAGCCCAUGCCGGUCGAAGAUACCAGGCCGCUGCGACUGUUUAUUAAAAACACAGCACUCUGCAAACACGAAAGUGGACGUAUAGGGUGUGACGCCUGCCCGGUGCCGGAAGGUUAAUUGAUGGGGUUAGCUAACGCGAAGCUCUUGAUCGAAGCCCCGGUAAACGGCGGCCGUAACAAUAACGGUCCUAAGGUAGCGAAAUUCCUUGUCGGGUAAGUUCCGACCUGCACGAAUGGCG
rnacentral:rRNA from 1 species